AAACAAAAAACAUAUGUACAUAUUCAUGUAAGAGGUUAAAGGAGAAAUUCAAGAAAUCUGAAGCAGCGCGCGUUCAAGUUCUUGAAAACGACGCAAAUGCCAUCUCUACAUCGCCAGAGGACUGAAAAUCUUACGUAAAUAGCGAUGAGAACGAAAUCUCAUGAUGGAGGCAGGGCUAAAACUUCUACAAAACCCUCCCAUCCUACUGUGAGGGCAAUUCCUCGAGUGAGUCAGGAUGCAGAUGGUGCAGCUGUGCCUAAAAUAUCCAAUGAGAGUAAUCGUGAUCUGCUAGAUGUUAGAGAGGUGGAUUCAAAAGACAAUUUGGAUAAUGUAAUUCAUGAGGGCUCUAAUAGAAUGCCUCAUGAGAGUCUAGGUCAUGACAACAUUUGUACAGAUGUUUUUGAUGGAAAGAUUUGCAUCCGUUGCAAUGAAGGUGGAGAAGUAUUAAUUUGCAGUGAAAGUGGUUGUCCUGUUACUGUCCAUGCAAAAUGUAUCAGCUGCAAACCUAAAUUUGAUGGUAUAGGGAACUACUACUGCCCUUAUUGCUGGUUAAAACGAACUUUGGCAGAGGUCCAAGUAUUGAGGAAAAAGGCCUUAACAGCGAAGAAAGAUUUGUCUGACUUUUUAGGUAACAGUGGGAGCAUGAGUAGUAAGUUGGCCCAAAAUUACGGGGAAGCAGGAAAAGAUUCCAACGAGUUAUCCCUUGGGGGAAAUGGGAGCCGCAUGGAUUACAAGAGUGGGCAGGAAAAUGGCAGUGCAUGCGCAUGGUCCUUGCAGAGAGUGGAAGAUCAACAAAAAGAAACGGAAGGAGUGACAUCUAGUGCUGAUCAACAUGAAAUAGCAGUUGAAGAUGAAACUCAUGCAAAUGCUGAAGUGGCCAAUACUGGUUCUAUGCAUCAUGUGGAAGAAAAGACACCAGAGCAUAUGGAUCUGAUUGAUAAAUCCAUGACCAGGGAGAAAGUUGAUCAUAAAAUUUCAGAGGCACAUAAAACCACUUUUGUUGAAGGAAAAGAGGGGAUUGAACCAGAGCAUCCAAAAUAUAGUGAUAAAAGCCUUGACGAAGGGAUCCCUGAGGAUGAAGAGGAAGUAUCCCCUUCGAGCUCAUACCAUUUGGGAAAACACAAAGAUGGACCCUCACCUGAUAUUGCAAUUGUCAAAGGGACACAAGAAAGUGGUGCUGUGACUGUAGAUAAAAAGGACACAAGGCAAGACAGAGAGAAGUUGCUCCAGAAUGAAUCAAGGACGCCUUCAAUGGGUACUUCUGUCAGUGAAACUGAUGAUUCAGGUUCUGAAGCUCUCUUAAUGAAGAAAAGACGUGUCAAACAUAUGGCAAAGAGGCAUCCUCAGAGAGUUAUGAAUGCUGAGGGUGAAACUGGUUGUCACAAAGAUGAGGAAGUUACCAGUUCUGGAACUUUGAGACGGGUCCAGAAAUCUUCUAAGCAAGGCAAAAAACUGACUUUACCAGCUAGAAAGCGGAAGAGAUUACGCUGGACAACUGAAGAAGAAAAUAAACUAAAGGAAGGAGUUUCAAGAUUCUCAAAGGAAAACCGGAAUAUCCCUUGGAGGAAAAUUUUAGAAUUUGGUUGUGAUGUAUUUGAUACUACACGCACCCCAAUUGAUCUUAAGGAUAAAUGGAGGACCAUGACAGUGGGGCCAGGACACAGUCGACCUUGGGAGAUUUCUGCAGACUAAGGGAAAGCAAUGCGUUUUUCUCAAUCACGUUUUGUCCGACUUUGAGGACUUUGUUUCUCAAUUUCUGCACUCCCGGUAACAUGCAGAGGGAAUACAAAACUUUUAGGUACUAAAACAAAAUCCUUGUAUGUGGGUUUCUCCCCCCCCCUCUCUGUCUCUCUCUCUCACGCACACAGAACAAUGGGAUCUUGAAGAAAUCCUUGUCGAGGCUUCUAUACACAUUAUAUAGCACAAGAGGGUCUUUGAUCGUAGAUAAUGAAAAAGAAGACUCCAAAAAUUUUGAUAUCUCACUACAAGGUUGGGGUUCUGAUUUGAAAUUAAUUUUAAAAGCCAAAUGAUAAAGUUGCCUUCAUUGUGAGAACACCAUCGAGGAAUAAAAAAUGUCUCACAAACACGUCUUGCAAGCACAUAAAAACAAGGUAUGUAGUGAGGUUCUUCAUACCAAUAUAUAUGUUAUAUAUUGGUAUGUCCUUAGUAACUUUGCCUAAUACUUUGUGCGCUUAUUGAUGAAUUGUAUCAAUAUAUCUCGAUCAUACUAGUAUAUGUUAUUCUUCCCUAUAUAUGUGUUACAUACUGGUAUCUCCUUCUCAAUUACUCCUCUUUGCUUGUGGAGAACUCAUAUUGAUAUAUUCAUCUCAUACUGGUAUAUUCAUGAGGAAAUGUUUCCCCAGUCGACAUUCAUCUCAAGGAUUGGUGUAAGCAAACUUUGUUUAGUUAAGCAUUCAUCACCAUGAGGAAAUGUCAUCUCAAUUGACAUAUAAUGUAUGAUCUUUGCAAGCUCUGAAUGCAUGCUUCCAUAUUUUGUAAGGGCAAGGGAGAAGGAGUGCUUGUUGUCACAAAAUUGGGAGGGCUUAAUGAACUUCCCUCCUUAAGUCCUAGCAACCUCAUUAUGCUGCAUUAAUAAGUGACAAAGGAAGUUAGCAACUUAGUGUAUGUUAACCAGAAGGGAAAUUAACAAAUUUGUUAAAAUUAACAACUUACUUUUCUUGAAACUUUAACUGUGAUGUUUGUGCAAUAUACACAUGACCAUUGGUUUGGUUCUCCUCAA